AAAGUAACUCAGCUAUUUUGUUGUAAAUUUAAAAGUAAUGUUACUUUAUUAGUUACUUGAAAAAAGAAAUCUGAUUACGUAAUUGCGUUACUUGUAAUGCAUUACCCGCAACAAUGGACAUAUUAAACAAUAUGUCUCACUAACAAAGCUCUCUCAUUUAGUGCCUGUUGCAUUAUGAUUACUUCAAACUAGUGCUGUCAAAUCGAUUGAUUGCGAUUAAUCACAUCUAACAUAGUUUAUGUUUUUAUAUUAUGUCUAUACACACAGACACACACACACACAUAUAUAUAUAUAUAUACGAAAAAUUUUAUAUUAGAUGCGAUUAAUCGCAAUUAAUCAUUUUUUAUUUUUUUUUCAGAAUUUGUACUCUUUAUCAUAGUUACAUGUCUCAGUCCAAAUGGAUAUGUAAGAAGUGGACAAAUGUUUCCUGUAGCUUCAUAUACUCUUAAAAAUAAAGGUUGGCAUCUAUGGUUCCAUGAAGAACCUAUAAAAUCCAUGAAACUUUUCCAUUGCACAAAGGGUUUUUUAUAUUAUUAAAAUGUUCUUCAUGCUAAGAAAAAAUGGUUCUUUUAAGAACUGCACGUUUCUUUGAGGAACCCAGAAUGGUUGUUCUAUGGCAUCACAGUGAAGGUUCUCUUUUGGAACCUUUUUAUUUUUAAGAGUGAUGAGUUUCCUCAUAUAUAUAAUUUUCAUGAUAUGACAAAGUGUUGGCAAAAAGUGGAGCUUUUAACCUUUGCUGUCUGGAACUAGUUGUAAAAGGCAGUAUUUUAAUUAAGCAGUCAAGUCAAACUUCAUUCAACACAACCACAGCUGAUCCAAAAUGCAUUAAAAUAAGGAGGGAUUACAGAUUCCUAAAAAUGGUGUAAACGCCAACACCUCAACAACACACUAAUAAAAACUAGGUAAAAAAAAGGUAACUAACAUGCAAGUAAUCCCAUAAUUUUUCCCUCUCUCAUUAGAUAUCAAUGUACAUUUAUUUUUAUUAAUUUAUUUGCUUAUUUAGCAUUAUAUAUUUCAUGCCUGAAAGAGUUUUAUGCACUGAAAUUGUGCACAAAGCAAACAUGAUUAUGUAUUGGAUUUAAUCUGAAUUCUGUAAUGAUGUAUAAAACUGAAUGCACACAAUUUGUUAAUAGUAUUAUUUGAAAUGUAACAUAAAUAAUAGCUGUUUUCUAACAAUGCAUUUUGGGGGAUGAACUGUUCUGAUGAGAGUAAAAGUGUCAGAAACUUUUUUUUUUAAAUGUGCAUAGUUUUUAAGUUUAAAAACACAGUUUCUGUGUGUAACAUAUCUAAACGAAAAUAUAGAUAGAUUAAAGAUUAAAAUGGAAUAAUUCACAAGGGAACUACAUUUUUUGCCACUUUCAGUGCUUUUUUUUUUUUGUCCUGGCAAAUAAUGAUAAUGAAAAAUAAUCAGUGUUAAUGGCUUUUUGUCAAGAUCUCUUGAGAUUCUCUCUGCUUGAGAUUGUUAAACAAUGUACAUUAAUUGUGCAAGAGCAGCGCCUUUGUCCCAAUUGGACAAAGAGUUUUUUUGUAGCACCUCCACUGACCAGUUGAGAAGCUUAGCGUAUGCAAGCCCCGCCCCAUAUGAAGGCGUCAUAUACUAAUAUGGUCACUAUGUCCUUAUAUGCAGUGCGGUGGGUGGAGCUCCAGUAACCACGGCUGUUUAGUGUCACUUUCACCGAAUUCUUAACUACGGUUCUCAGAGAUGAAUCGGACAGCUGGCGGGUGAAACGCACUGAAUCUCCUCUUGUAAACAACCUACAAGUUUUGACGGAUUAUUUAGGAACUUUCUUGGUACAAAGAAUUGUGUCAUACGGAAAGAUCUUUUAGCGUUUAUUCAUUUUCAUUUUAUUUACACGUUUUUUGCAACAACAACAUUUCGCGUGCGGUCUUGAAGAUUACGUAUCGUGUCAGUAUUAUUACUGGAAAACGCUCUUUUCUUUUAUAGUUUCCUUUAAUAAUAAUACAUCAUACAUACAGUGUAUGGUUGGAAGCGCCGCGCGCCUCGUCCAGAUCUCCUCAAGCGUCAUUCAGGAUCGUUUGAACUCUCCUCCCUGCUUGAAAGGAGUCACAUUGUAUCGGUCGUUACCACAGACAGUGUUGCUGGAUAGCAUGGCAAUGGUAGUAAAUCAGUGGCAAGAGAACAUUUCGGCUGAUCCCGGGUCCCAGCUGCAAAUGUGCAGUCAGGAGCCCGGCGGGACACCGGGAACUCCCUCAGGUUCAACCCCGGGCAACGACGCGCUCUCCGGGGACAAAAUUCCCAAUGUGGACUGCAUGGUUUGCGGGGACAAGUCCAGCGGCAAACACUACGGCCAGUUUACAUGCGAGGGGUGCAAGAGCUUCUUCAAACGCUCGGUGAGACGGAACCUGAGUUACCUGAGUUACCUGAGAUACCUGCCGGGUGUAAAGCAAUUGACAAAUAGGUUCUUCUCACCGGGGGUCCUGUAAAUCCUGGUUCUCCCAGGCUUCCUCUGUCCCCUUUGUGUCCUUGUGCUCCUGGUAACCCGCGAUCCCCCUACAAACAGAGCAGUUCAUCACAAAGGUGAAGUUCACAUCUGUGGUCAUGUUUUUUUCAAACAUGACCACAUGUACCAUUUUUUUAAUUGCAUGGUAAUUUUUGGAGUUUGUGGAAAAGAGUAUUUUGUCUUUGACAAGAAAAGUCUUGCAGGUUUGGAACAACUUGAGGGUGAGUAAAUUAUAACAUUUUUAUUUUUGGGUGAAGGAUUCCUUUAAUGCUAACUAAAAUAUGAAUGCAUGACUGUGGCUAUAAGAGUCUCCUCACCUUCUGUCCCGGCAGACCCUCGCCAGGGGACCCUCUUGGCCCCUGUAUACCCUGAUAUCCAGGAUCACCCUGUACAAAACAGAAUAAAAUGCAUGUGAAUUAAACAGUACUGUACAGCACACUGUAAUAUGUUCAGGAAAACGGUAUCCUGUUGAUAUGCCUCAGAUUCCUGAUACCUUUGGUCCUUGUAUGCCCUCUCCUGGUAAUCCUGGAGGACCAGCUGGACCAGUCUGACCAGUGGAGCCCUGCAGACCACAAAACACUUCUGAGCAAACCUGAGCAGGCCAAUCUGAACAGAAUCACAUUUUGCUAUAUAUCUCAUUGCACAGCAAUCUGAAAUGCUGUUUUGGUCAUUCUGUAAUGCCUGAGCAAAGUCUGAGUGGUUUGGUAUAAUUCCCUCCCAGAAGCGCCUCACACAAUUGCGUUCACAAACACCAGGCAUCUGAAUGAAAGAUAACAUGAUAUUGCGUUUCGUCUGCACACUCUGAGGUGCAAAUAAUUUAUGAUAUGAGUAAAUUAUUAUAUACAGUGGCUUCUACUGCAGCAUCUUUCAUUUUUCUUAGUGAUAUUUAGCACCAGUUUUUCAGGAAGUGACGAUUUUGUUCUCUUCGACACAGCACAAAUGUUAACGAGUUUCUGGUUACAAUUUACACAUGCACACACAAGGUACAGCAAUAGACAUUCAGAUACAAAGUUUAUCAUAUUAAUAAAUUACACAAACGUCUUCAAUAUUUCAUAACCCAAUUCAUACUUGCUUUUUACAUUAGGAAAAUAAAUAACUAUUUUAAAUGGUCCUUUACACACUGGAUGGAAACAGUGCUUUAUUCGCAAAUGAUUUAUGCAAUAUUCCAAAUUUGCGCACGUUAAAUUCGCAUCUUUGGAUGGAAAAAUAGCUAGUGAGCGCUUACCAUGAUCAGCUAAAUGCUGGAUUUUCAAAAAUUGUGUGAAGUUCAUAGCACCAUUGUUGUGCCAUUGUUGCAGUAAACUUGCACAACAUUCUUGAAUGAAUUGCAUGUCUAUAUGACUUUACAUUUUCACACCCCUAAACAUGACGCUGAACUGCACAACGUGUAAUUGGUUGUUUUACAUGUUAGUCAGAUGUCCUCUUGGGCAAUCCGUAGUCAAUGAAAACUGCAAUGGAGUCCAGACCUUCUGCUGUAAGUCUGAAGUGAGACUAAUGUAUUCUACAUACAAUAUAAAGUUUGAAAUAUAUUUCCCACCUUUGGGCCCACCUGCCCAAGACCUGGUGCUCCAGCAGGCCCUGCGGGACCUGGAGGGCCUCGAUCCCCCUGUGACAGAAAAUAUCAACGCUCUAAUAGAAUAUUUUAUAAUAUUAUUUUAUAUAAUAUUCAAAUUUGCACAUUUUCUGAAGAAAUUGAGAGGGAUGCAAUCAUCUUACCUUUGGUCCAGGUAAACCUGUACCCUCUGGCCCAGUGUCUCCUGUAAGACCUGGUAGCCCCUAUAGAUCACAUGAGCAACACAUAAUGUAGUCUGUUAUAAUUGCAUUUGGUAUGUCAGAUUAAAUACAGACUAUACAAAUGUAACUAUGAUUAGUAUGAACAAUGUUCUUUGUAAUGUUAAUAUUUACAGGUAGGCCGGGAUAGCCUUCUCCCUUCAGCCCUGGUGGUCCAAUGUGUCCUCGUAACCCCAUUUCACCCUAAAGACAGACAAAAUGGGUUAUCUCAGUCACAAAAGCACAGUGUAGGUUUCUGCUGGGAUGUCACUCUUACCUUCGGCCCUGCAAUGCCUAUUCCUGGUUCUCCAGCUGGUCCUGCUGGACCAACUGGCCCUGGAUCUCCCUACAGCAAGAUGAACAUGGUCAUGUCUAACAGUUUAGUUGAAACUACAACCUACUUUUGGUCCUGGUUCUCCAAUUCCUCUUUCUCCAGUGGCUCCAGGAUCUCCAGGGAAUCCCUGUUCUCCCUGACAGCAAACAAAACGAAAACACAGUGUUUAGAUAUCGCUCAAAAGUUUGCGAUUGGCACUCCUAUUGGUCCAGGUGGUCCCGCAUUGCCCUAAGAGGAUGGAUACAGGGGCUUAAUUUAAUGCAAAAUGGCCAUUUAUAGGGCCAACUAAAAUCUCACACAACUGCAACAUACCUUUUCACCGUUGACUCCAUAACCUGGGGGUCCACGUCCACCAGUAGGGCCGACAUAGCCACGGUCACCCUAAGACACAAACACAAAACAGAUUAAAAAGUGAUAUGUCAAUGUUUUUAUUCACAUGACCAUUAAAGGGAAACAAUUACAAAGAGGAAUUUCAUAUGAUUUUAAAUGUACACUCUUAAAUAAAGGUUGUAUAUUGGAGUCUACCCUAGUGAAAAAUAAAUAUACUAAAAUCUAUUUAAAAUACAUUUAUUUUAUGCUAAGUUUACUACAAUUGCAUUUACAUUUGCAUACUUAAUGUAAAUACCCUGCAGUUGUACUUUUAGUAUACUAAAUUGGUAUACUUAAAGUCUGCUAAACUGGAAGUAUUUUUGUGUUGAGGUCCAACUAAAGAUAUACUUAAGUAUAUUUGAUUGUGCUAAAGUGGAACUAUUGCAAGUAUACUUUAGUACAAGUAUAUAUGUCUUGCAUUUAAAUUAUACAGUGAUCAUACUAUCCUUACACUAAUAGUGAUAUUAAACAUGUUAUGCUUAAUAUUUAGAAAUAAAUGAAUAAAGGUAAAUAUGCAUUGUGCAUUGUGCAAUAAAGAAGAACUGCAAAUAAAGUUUAAUUAAAAUACUGUCAUUAUGUCUCUAAAUAGUCAACAUCUGAAAAGCAUCAUCUAAAACCUUCUUCUAAGGACAACUUUGAUGAACUUUUUUGAUCCACUUCAAAUGCUGACUACUGUAUAUUAAUGGGUUUUCAGUUAAAUGUAGGCCUAUUUGAAAUACAUUUUGGUAGGUUUUUUCUCUGCAUCCAAUGCCUCUGACAUGUUUUCUCACCAUCACGUACUUAACUCGGAAACUCUUAAGGAAAUUAACUCAUAAUUAUGAGUUGUGCUGAUGUUCAUGUGCAUUUUAAAUACAUUCUUUCUGACAUGACUUGAAAACACUGUAACUACUGAAGCUAAACCUUGACCCCCAUUGGCCUGCUCCAACGUCCUACUAUUGGUUGAACCACAAUGAUUGAUGUUUUGAACAGCCAUAAAGCCAAUGCCAUCACACUCACCAACAAUCGGUUUUGCUGUACUUUUCUAAACAACCGAACUCACUGGAGUGCACACUAUUGAGAAUCUGUGUUGAUUUUGACAUAUUUGUCAGAAGGAAACUUUAGAGUCUAGAAAGUCAUUGUAGCUAAAGACACAAGUCUCACCGUGUAUUUCAAAUCUGAGAAUGAUCAAAUUAUUUUUAGAUGAUGCUUUAUCAUUUUUUAGAUGAGACUUUCUUUUUGUGCAAACCACAGAAAACAUGAGGUAUGAACUGAAACAUCUAGUUUCUGCUAAUUGGCUGUAAGGGCAGAAUUUUGAAACCCAACUUUUUCCUACAGCUCAGACAUAAACCAUGAGAAUUUUGCAAAUAAAAUGAUUUCAUUUGUUACAUUUUUACUUAAGUAAUUUAUUUUUGUUGAAUACUAUGUUGACCUGUUAUGAUUAAAUGUCCAAUUCAAUAAGCAGUAUUUGAGUUUUACUUGUUUAGUAUUAAAAAAAAAUAGUAUUGGCCUAGAUAAAACUUUACAGGAAAUGUAUUUUGAGUUGCAAAAAAUAAUCAGUAAGUUAUAAUUAUGACAUUUACUUUUUUUAAAUAAUUUGCUCAAACUUUGAAUAUCAGGUAGGCUAUUGUUUAAUGUAAUUCAAUAGCACUUUUCACAAUUUUGCAUGGUUGCAAAUAGAUAUACAUACAUAUAUCAGUAGCUACUAUACAGUAGUUAUAGUAAAUAUUUGUAAAUAUGACAAAUAAAGAAAACAACAUAUAGUCAGUUUAAAAUGGUGAAAGAAAUUCACAUACCUGAUCAGAAGUUUUAUUACAUGAGUGUAUUCCUAAUGCACUUCAAUGCACCUUAAUUCUACUUUAAUAGCCCUUAUUUGCACUUUGAAAUAUGGACUGCAGCCCUUUGGGCUGUCAAAAUAUUUUGAAUUAUUAAAUUAAUUAAUUAAACUGAUUCUGAGCAACAACAACAAAAAAAACAACGCAGAAAUUUAAAAUGUCAAAUAAAUUCAGAAACUUUUACUGCAUGAAAAGUAAAUCAUUUUAAUUUAUGCGUCACAUAUAAAUCCGCAGCGAGACCGCCAAAUCAUUUAUGCGUUUUUGUCAGGAGCAGUUGUGGUGCACUGAGAGUUGAAGCGCGCAGAGACAAUCGUUAGAGGAAUGUUACAUGUGUAUAUGUUUCAUCCGCACACACGGGAACACAAGCAGUUCUGCACGAUCACAUUUUCCACCAAUGAACAGAACACAAAGUUACACCAGUUUAGCGUAGCCUAUAAAUGUGUGGUGGCGCAACAGGUAAGCCGAGUGCUCUUGUGCGACCCGGGUUCGAUUCCAGCCCGUACUGGAUCCUGCAUUUAAUAUACAUAUAAAUCUGUUCCCAUUGUCUCACUGAUAUUCACUGGAUAAGUUACUGGUAUACUCAGGCUGCCUGUAAAAUGCAUAUUCUAAAGCUGUAACUUGAUUUAUAAAGAUUACUUUAUUGUAGUCUAUUUGAAGCACACUAUAAUGAUGCCAUUAGCACACUAAAAUCACUAAAGGUUUGUUAUCAGUAUAAUAUAAAUGUAUGUUCAGCUCUCUUACAAUGUAAUUGAAUUGCUAAUGUCACCAAAAUACAUUUAAAAAGUUUAUGCUGAGUAAGUUCUGCAUUUCAAAACUUAAAUACAAGAGUAUAUUUAAAGUGUACUUGCGUUUACUUGGAAUAGUUCCACUUUAGCACAAACAAGUAUAUUUAAUACAACUUUAGUUGAACUCCAAUUUAGCAGACUUUAAGUACCAAUUUAUAGCGUGCCACAAGUACAUUUAGUUAUACUAAAGUACAUACAAAUAAAUUGUGCUUAAAUGUACUAUUUUUUUUUCACUAGGGUAAGGUUCUAUGAAGAACCUUUAACAUCAAUGGAAUCUUUCCUUUUAACCAAAGGUUCUUUAUAGUGAAAAAAAAAGGUUCUUUAGAUUAUUAUUGUUCUUCAGGCUAAAAAAAAAUGGUUCUUUUAAGAACUUUUCUCUGAAAGGUUCUUUGAGGGACCCAAAAUGGUUCUUCUAUGGCAUCACUGUGAAAACCCCAUUUUGGAACCUUUAUUUUCAAGAGUGUAUGUUACUGACAUGACUAAAUUCAUUCACAUUUACUGUAUCGAAAAGAGCAACAGGACAUCCUGCUAAACAUCUCCAUUUGUUUUUCACAGAAGAAGGAAUGACUUAGGGGUUUGGAACAAUGCAAGGGUGAGUAAAUUUCAAAAGUUAUCUUUCAGAAAAGGUCAGAGAGCCCAUUGAAAAGGGAAUGACCUAAAAAAGAAGCAGGAACCGCAAGU